UGUGUGUGUGUGUGUGUGUGUAUAUAAAUAUAUAAAUAAACAUCCAGAAUGAUGCAUGAGAAGUACAGCACAGAGAAACCUGUAAGAAAAAUUGCAGAAUAGUAGAAACAGAGAUCGUGUUGGAGAUCAGCCAAUGACGAGUCCAAUAAAUCACACACACACACACACACACACACACACACACACACGCUGAACACUGUAAGCUGAUUAUUGGAGCAUUUAAAAAGAAAUCUAUUCGUUGCAGCUGUGAAUCGCAGACAAAAAAAAGAAAAAAAAGAAAGCAUAAUCAAUAAACUGUUUAUGUGCGAAGUCUUUCCCGAGCGUUACUACUGUAUGAAGAGACGAGAGAAAGGGUUCGAACACGUUCGAGAGCAUUUCAGGGGAAAUGAGAGAUCAUUUUUAUUAUUUUUCCGAAGCGUACUGUGAAAGGCGAAUCUGAGGAGGAGAGGAGAGGAGAGAAGAAAGAAACGGAGAGUCCUAUACGGAGCACGGCUGAGUUAAUUGAGAUGAAUCGAGGACCAGAUGUGCAGAAUUGGGUCCUUCUGACUGUGUGUGAGAGAGAAAGACACAGAGGCGUGUCUCAUACAUUCUGUGCAUGAGAGCUGACUUUAGGCACUUUAAUCACUAAUGAUUUUUAAAUUGAAUUUAGUUGGGGCAAAAAAUAAAACAUAAAGCCCAUAAAACACAGGCAUCGGGAAAGGAAGACUUCUUCUUCUUCUCCUUCUUCUUCUUCUUCCCAGCUUCUUCAUUUUUGAUGUACAGACCUUACCCCAUAACUGUCUCCCAAUCGUUGCAAAAUAUCUAGGGUCAGGCUUAUAAAAUAAGAUCAUGUAGGCCCGUGGAGUAUUUCCAAACAAUCUGGCAACCCAAGAAAAAAAGGAAUGUGUGGUAAUAUGGAAAACGUCAGACUUGAGAGAACAUAUCAAGUAUAAUUUAGAUAAGAAUGAUAGCGUUUCUACUCAAAGCCUGAUUUCAUUACUUAUACUAAAUAAAUUGAAAUGCUCUUAUCCAUUUUACAGAUAUUUCUAGUUACUCGAUUGAACUACGUAGGUUCAGCAUGAGUACGUCGAAUUAACGUAAACCAAUUCCGUCCUACGAUCUCGCGAGGGUGUUCGAGCUGACGGGAAUCAUAACGAUAGUAUUAAAUUGACGUGAAUGAAGCGUGCGCGGUUAGAACGAUGCAGCCGUAACACGCCUCUCGUAGAAAGGUUCGGUUCUCGGAUCCGACUGGGUCGGGAAAACAAACCGUGUAUGUACGUCAGUUCGAUCACGUGGACCUGCCGCACACACUCGAAUUAAAGUAGGUUGCGAUCACGUGUCCUGUUUGCUCGUGUUCAAGCGUGGGGGCAGCGUGAUUCAAGCCCCAGUAGACUCUGUUAGAACUUGUUGCAGUUCCCAUUUUUGACCACUAGGGGCAGUGAUAACUCUGAUGAGCUCACUGCGCUGAGAACGAAACAUCGGCAGAUAUCUCGUUCAACUGCAACACUUUUUCAACUCGUGGGUCAAUCGAAAGAGUUCAUUAGUAUUUCGAGGACGUUUAAAGCGUACGGAGUUUACAAAGAUUAACGUUUAUUCAACAUCCGAAAGGCGCCUACGGACGAGACGUGUCAACGGGAAGAAGUCAGCCGUUACUAAUUGAAUACCAAGAACAGCAUGUGCCAAUUAACCGUCAGCUUUUAAUCUGUGAAGGCCUUCUUAAUUCGAUGUUUUACUUAUAAUUUGCGAACUAAAUAAAGGCUGUCAAUUUUUUUUUUUCAUCCCUUUUAUUGAAGAGAUCACUAAAGGAACAGCACGCAGCGACUUAUUUGAAGGUCUGUCAGCCGUCAUUAAGAAUUUAGUCGGGUACGUUAUAAAACCGAACAACUUUUGGUCUUUUAUUAGGCUUCAAUGAGUCCAGACGAUCCUCUUCGACGGCGGAUUUAAUAAAAUGACAUUGAAUUUUUCCUUUUAACGUCGGUUCUCACUUAUCGAGUAUGGUUGGGGGGGGGCGUUUUAUAUCUUCGAUAACAUUCUCGACUUGAGCGAUAAUCAAUCGAGGAAAUCCCUCCGAUUUUCUGACCUUACUCAAACACAUCGGACGUAUGAAACCGCUGAUUAGACCCUCAGAUCUUCUCACGUCUCACGUGCAGGUGCUCGAACAGCAGGAAAAUCAUUUUUACUCUGAUAAACAGAGCCCCCGAGGCCUGGCGUUUUUUUUCUUUCUUUUUUUUUUUUUUUUUAACAGGGCUGCUGCUGUGUGUUGUGUUUAUUAUCAGAUUAACGUCCAGGCCAGAGACUGGAACAAGACGCCGAAGCGUCAAGUCUUUAAUGAUGAUCAGAGCAAAAGCACAAAGAGCACGGAGAGGAGCUCAUCAAAUUUGCAUGGCAGAGAACAAAGAAAGCACAUAAAUCUCCCCUGGAGCCCUGAAGUCACUGAGAUUAAAGACAGGAAGCCACUCUGAGUUUCUGAUCGGCCAAUCAAGACGCAGAGACUUGUGAACUCCUGUUCGUGCCCAUGUUACUCCUGGACAUCCCGUGUUACUAUUCGGGGGGGGAUUGUCGUUACGAGGUUAAGGUGUGUAAAUGUAAGGUGAGUUUAAGGCUGCUUUCAUACUAGGAGGUGGUGGUGGUGUUUUUUUUUUUUUUUACUCAACCAUAUGGUGGAAUAAGGACGCUUUAAAAAAAAAAAAAAAAAAAGCGCUUUCCCGUCACAAAAGAAAAAGUACAUUUCUGACAAAUCAGACAUAUUUCAAUAAGGACCAAAACGCCCGCUCUUCGUUAUAGCUACGUAUUGCUAAAUAUUCCGAAAUCCAUGUAAUCCUUGUUGUCAGUGCAUCUAGAUGGAAAGUUCAACUAGCCAAUUAGCCGAAGUGGUAAAAGCUUCAUUACGGUGAUGAUUAGGUGGUCGGUACUCCAGUCGUCCAUGGAGAAAAGUGGGAGGAAAACGGAGUGAUGGAGAAUCACAACCCCCCCACCCCCCCACCCCCCCGCCCAAGCAUCACCAGAAUGCCUGCUGUUGUUCCUCUGUUGCCAUGGUGAUGAGAAAAAGCAGCUCCUUGUUCUGUACCCUAAGUGUUGUGCAUUAAGGUGGGAACAGGUACAGAGUAAAAAACGCCGAAGACACUAAAUCACACUAAAUCACAGAGACGAGAAAGACAGAGGUCUGAUGUUGGAGGUCUGAUUCUUCUAAUCCCGCUCGUCUGAGCUUCUCCCGAUCGCUAGCACUUUGUUCUCUCUGUAAAUGUAAAAUAUAUAGAGCGCUUUUAAAUGCAUGUUCAAUAUUUCGCGUCAUUUCACAUCAGAUCUCUCGCAUUGGAGCGAUGUGGAGCGUCGUAUUUUGGUUCUCACGCCCCUUCCCGGUCGUCCCCGAUCGAACAGAGACGUCUGCGGACGUCCGUUAUUAAAAUCCCUCGCUGUCGGUCGACACGAUCUACCGUUAUUUAUUUUCUCAUCGCCGUCAUAUUACAUUUAAUGGCUUGUAUCUGGCUCCAGAAAAGAGUCCAAUUCUACUCACGGUAAAUGUCAUAUCGUGUUUUUUUAAAUGUCAUAGUCUCACACACAAGCAGCUUGGAUACAUUUCCUGUUCGGAUCGCCGUAGCUACUGGAGAAUAUUCAAAUAUCACUUUCGGAACGCUGCACAUUUUAUAUCUUCAUUUUUUUUUUUUUUUAUCAUUUACACAAACACAACAAACACCAUGGUCUUCAUCCAAGGUUUCUUCCAACUCCCCAAAAUCAUGUCUGUAGUCGGAUCGGCGACGAUAAAUCGCCCGUACGCGUGAACGAGCGCGUGGAUGCGUUUGUGUUCUUGGUGCCGUGCGAUAGACCGGCGUCUUAUCCGGUGUUUAUUCCCGUUUCACACCCGGUAUUCCCGGGAUAGACUCCGGAACCACUGGACCAGGAUGAAGCGCGUACUGAAAGUAAACGGGUUAGUAGUUUACAUGAGCAGCGCCAAUAUUUCUGGACGGUAAUUUCACUCACGCUGUAUCCAACAUGGUUUCAUACACACACGAGUAGCCCAGUGGAAAAGUUGCUAGUCUUAAGUUAAGACGAGUGUGAGAAGUGGGACUAGCUUCGUGUGAAAUCGACAAAAUCGCUCCUUUGAUAAUAUUAUGUUGUUGUUGUUGUUGUUGUUGUUUGUGAGUGAGAUACUAUUGCUUUAUCAGCUUCACAUACUGUAUAGACAUGCUAUAGUUACAUACAAGCUGAAAGAGAACAUAGUUCCGUCUCUUUCGUUCCGCUUGGAGAUUAUUCGCACACAAACUGUCCUUAGCGGCUACGUGCUAGCUAGCUAAAUUGUAACGCUGCGGUCGAGUUAUCUCGGAAGUGGGAAGUCGGCGCUCGGAAUUACAGUCGUUUUAGACCUCUGUGCGUUCGAGCUACAAAGUGGGACAAAAAAAAACCCAAAAAAAAAUCCCACAGACGCGUCCGUGUUCGUCUUUUGUUCGAAACAAGCUAGCCAGCUAACGGCGAUGAACGUAUGUAUAUUUUCAUCCUCAAAACUAUCCAGUGAAAUGUCUAGUCAGUGUUGUGUUAUAGAUUCAAACAAGCGACUACACUGUAGUGUGCGUAUGUUGACCGAUAUAGCUAAAGCUAACACGGUACGAGUCCAUCCGGAAUUCCGGAGCAGGAAUUCCGAGUUGAUUUUUUUUCUUUGGAUUUUGAAAGCGUCGGGAGUCUGAAACGAGAAGUUACGCCAUUUUUUAGUCGAAUGGUGUCGGGGGGAAACCUCGGACGGGGUGCCGACGCAUCGCAGGGCACGAUCGCGCACGCGUUCACGCGCUAUGGACGAUUCGGAUAUGCCGAUCGACCCACAACGCAGGUUGUAGGACUGGACUGGAGGAGGAAACCGGAUUCAAAUCCCCAACCCUGGAGGUGUGAAGCAAACGUGCUAACCACUAAGCCACUGCGCCUCCCUGUCCGUCGUCCUCAAAGGCGAAAAUUCCCAAGCUUCCUUUACACGUACCGAUCAGUUCACGCGGGAUGCAGCCGAUCCUUGUUCGAUUCCAGACGGAGAUCCAGACGCACAUAAGUGUCUGGACUCUUCUCGUCUCACAAUACCGUUACACUUCACUUUGAAAUUCUCCAUCGUGGAUAUUAGAGCAUACUAAUCCCAACUGUUCAUCAGGGCCCGGUGCGGUUUUAUUCCCGAUCGCCCAGAUUUACAGCGCUCCACGCUAACAGGAUCGACCGUAUCACGGGACAGGUUUAUUCGAUCAAGGUGCCGCCGUAGUUAUGAGAUGCAAUCACCAAAUUGAACACGAUACGUCAUGGGAACUGCUGUUGCAGGGAAUUGCUUUUAUGCAAACCAGACCAUGGCGUAUCUCAUCCGCUGCCUUUCCAUUACACGGCGUAGAGAGGAUGCGGCUCUGAUCUCCUGCUUUAAAAGACGGUCCACUUUAAUCAGCGGACUCUUCAAUUUAAUUAAGAGAGAGGAACUGGACCUUAGCCACCAAUAGAUCUAGCGGGGUUCGGGGCUGGCGAACUUGUUCCGAACGCCCGAGUUGAUGUCUAGCUAGUGCGCGAAAGUGUAAAGAAAUUUCUCGAUCUGUAGAAGGGGUGGCAUAAACAGCUGCCGUGUCCAUCUCGCUCACACGUUCGUGUCGUGGCAAUUCUCUCUUCUAGCAGCUUCAUAUCUGACCAUCAGCAUGGGAGUUCAAACCCCUCCUUCUUCUUUUUUUCCUCCGCUCAUAAACGACAUCCAUUCAUUUUGCGCUCUUCGUUCACCUCAGACCCGGGCUCAGUGACCUACACAGCGAAAAGCACUCAGGAUGUCCCGGCGGACACGGACACGGAGACAGACCACGAGUACGACGCGUUCACGCACGCCGCACUCUGCCGGAUAAGACCUGCUGCAAAUAUGAUUAGAGAGAACACGAGGCCAGAAACCCGGCGACUCGACGCCGUGAUCUAAUUCAGCGACGAGGUAGAACCAGACGUUCGUCCGAAAGCUCGGGCGCUAUAAGACCGUUCCUCCCAUCGCAUUUUAGUGUCUCCGUGCAGCAGAACUUGAGAGAGAGAGAGAGAGAGAGAGAGAGA
ensembl:lncRNA